AGUGAAAUUGCUGGGUUAUAUGGUAAUUCUAUGUUUAACUUUUUGAGGAACUGCUAAACUAUUUCCAAAGCAGCUGCACCAUUUUACAUUCCCACCAGCAAC
rnacentral:pre_miRNA from 1 species